GUUGCACUGCGACGUUGGUGACUGCCAUCAAGUUUUUUGAUCUAUGCCUUUAAUGAUAAGGGAACCAUAGAACGCUCGUGGCAGUAGACCGGGCAUGUACCCGGAAACUUUAAACGAGAUUAUUGGUACCCACCUGGUUUAACCAGGUCAUAAACUUAGGUAAAACGGCGUUGCGGUGAACUU
rnacentral:other from 1 species